CCAGGCUCCGGCCCCAGCCCUGCCCCACGCCCCCAGCCCGGGGGCUCCACGGGCCCGUUCCGGUUCCUGCGGUCAAACACCGGAAUCGGCGGCAGGGGGAGUGGGGAAAAGAAUUCUGGUGAGCCGGGGUGCCCCUCCUCGAGCCGCAUGAGCGGGACCUGCCUCCGUGCUGAGCUGCAGGAGGAAGCUGUGCAGUCCUUGGGCAGGGAUCUGCGGCAGCCCUGCUGCACCCGGACGCGUAGAGCACCGGAGCACCCUGGGGUUGAACCACGCUGCCCUGGGAGUCAUCUCCAGGCCUGCGCCAGAUGGAACAGAGACUUCGGAUGUGUCUGACUUGGGCUCUUGUGUCGGCGUUCCUUAUAGGGGAGAGACAGCUAACAGGGAAGUAUUCUGCCUCUUCCUGCUCUGGGGAGGGUUUUAUUUACUGUUUGUUUUUUUCCUUUGGACAGCUUGAGGAGGGAUAUAGUCCCCUGAAGCAUGCAUGAAGAAGAGGAGGGUGUGGGAGGAGGUGGUAGAUGUGACACACGAGCAGCAGGACAGCAAUCGUGUGACUUAGGGUUCAGUCUGUGGCGAGAGCUGGGACAGAACGCCUUUGCUUUCUUGCUCUGGUGACGGUCCCCAGCAUUGGCUAUGCUCUAGUGCAGGAGCCAUCUGUGCCUCCUCAGCCUGUGGUAGUGAGGAAAUAGGUCAGCUCAAGGCAGAUUUCCUCAGAUCUGCGUUCCCAACAUCACAGGUUGUUUGAGGAGAAAUCUCAGGAAUCCACAUAUUAAAUUUGCAAUGCAGGCAGUCAGCUCCUGCAGGUGUGGGUCUGUGACACCUGUUUCUGGCCUUUUCCCAAGGAGGAUGGCUCAAUUACCGUGGAGAGUGGGGUAAUUGCUGUCUAUCUGGACACGAUGAGGCACCUGACCUUGCUUCAGCUACUGGACUCCGGGAGGUCUGUGUCACCCAGUUCCUGGUCCAGAGCUCCUCAGACCUCUCCCAGGACUUGUCACUGUGCACCUUUCUCCACUGCCAGUCCUUCGGAUUCUGCCGUUUCCCUAUUCCACUUUCUUUCAGAGAGUCAUUCCCAGAUGGCUGCUAUGCCAACAGCUUUGCACUCCUGGGUGACGUUCCCCUCUACUGGAUGUGGUGGAUUAUUAGUUGGAAACCAGGUAGAGGAGCCGUGCAUGCAGCACUUGGAUUUUGGCUUUGCCCUGAGCUUCCUGCCUCCCUGUCAGUCCUAGCUGCAAGAAGCCACUGAGAACGCUGCUGAAGCCUCUGGAAUCACCAACCACCGGAUUGAUAAAUAUAAACAUUAUAAAGACUAACAUUUAAAAUAUA